AAUCAACGCUGGCGGCGCGCUUAACACAUGCAAGUCGAGCGAGAAAGGGGAGCAAUCCCUGAGUACAGCGGCGUACGGGUGAGUAACACGUGGGUGAUCUACCUUCUAGUGUGGAAUAACCCUGGGAAACCGGGCUAAUACCGCAUAAGCCUGUGAAGGGAAAGCAGCAAUGCGCUGGAAGAGGAGCCCGCGGCCGAUUAGCUAGUUGUGAGGUAACGCCACCAAGGCGAUGAUCGGUAGCCGGCCUGAGAGGGCACACGGCCACACUGGCACUGAACACGGGCCAGACUCCUACGGGAGGCAGCAGUGGGGAAUCUUGCACAA
rnacentral:rRNA from 1 species